GUGCUCGCUUUGGCAGCAUAUAUACCAAAAUUGGAAUGAUACAGAGAAGAUUAGCCUGGCUCUUGUGCAAGGACAACAUGCAAAUUCAUGAAGUGUUCCAGAUAUUU
ensembl:snRNA U6 U6 spliceosomal RNA